GGAUGAGGGUGAUGUGGCUGGAACAUCUGUCACCCCAUUGAUUGCCAGGGCUGAUUUGGCUGACCUGGCAGGCAGGCAGGUGUCCCCUUCCUCCCUUCCCACUCCAUAUGCAUCACGCCCAAAGGUCAGUGAAAGAUUAGACCUCCCCUGAUAGAGCAGUACAAAGAGCAGCUCUCCCCUGCUAGAACCAUCAAACAAGCUCUCUCACGUGGCUGUGACAUGCAGGAGGGAACAACGGUGAGCUUCUUGGGUGAGGGUCCAUGGGCACCCCAU
rnacentral:snRNA from 1 species